rnacentral:rRNA from 1 species
CUACGUGCCAGCAGCCGCGGUAAUACGUAGGGCGCGAGCGUUGUCCGGAAUUAUUGGGCGUAAAGGGCUUGUAGGCGGUUGGUCGCGUCUGCCGUGAAAUCCUCUGGCUUARCUGGGGGCGUGCGGUGGGUACGGGCUGACUUGAGUGCGGUAGGGGAGACUGGAACUCCUGGUGUAGCGGUGGAAUGCGCAGAUAUCAGGAAGAACACCGGUGGCGAAGGCGGGUCUCUGGGCCGUUACUGACGCUGAGGAGCGAAAGCGUGGGGAGCGAACAGGAUUAGAUACCCUGGUAGUCCACGCUGUAAACGUUGGGCACUAGGUGUGGGGGCCACCCGUGGUUUCUGCGCCGUAGCUAACGCUUUAAGUGCCCCGCCUGGGGAGUACGGCCGCAAGGCUAAAACUCAAAGGAAUUGACGGGGGCCCGCACAAGCGGCGGAGCAUGCGGAUUAAUUCGAUGCAACGCGAAGAACCUUACCAAGGCUUGACAUGC